UACGGGAGGCAGCAGGGGGAAUAUUGCACAAUGGGCGCAAGCCUGAUGCAGCCAUGCCGCGUGUAUGAAAAAGGCCUUCGGGUUGUAAAGUACUUUCAGUCGUGAGGAAGGUGUUAAGGUUAAUAACCUUAGCAAUUGACGUUAGCGACAGAAGAAGCACCGGCUAACUCCGUGCCAGCAGCCGCGGUAAUACGGAGGGUGCGAGCGUUAAUCGGAAUUACUGGGCGUAAAGGGCACGCAGGCGGUUAAUUAAGUUGGAUGUGAAAUCCCCGGGCUUAACCUGGGAAUGGCAUUUCAAGACUGGUUAGCUAGAGUCUUGUAGAGGGGGUAGAAUUCCAUGUGUAGCGGUGAAAUGCGUAGAGAUGUGGAGGAAUACCGGUGGCGAAGGCGGCCCCGUGGACAAAGACUGACGCUCAUGUGCGAAAGCGUGGGGAGCGAAACAGGGAUUAGAUACC
rnacentral:rRNA from 1 species